rnacentral:rRNA from 1 species
AACGUAGGAGGCGAGCGUUAUCCGGAUUUACUGGGCGUAAAGCGUGUGCAGGCGGUUUGGUGAGUUGGAUGUGAAAGCUCCUGGCUUAACUGGGAGAGGUCGUUCAAUACUGCCAGACUUGAGGAUGGGAGAGGAAGGUGGAAUUCCGAGUGUAGUGGUGAAAUGCGUAGAUAUUCGGAGGAACACCAGUGGCGAAAGCGGCCUUCUGGCCCAUCUCUGACGCUCAUACACGAAAGCUAGGGUAGCAAACGGGAUUAGAGACCCCGGUAGUCCUAGCUGUAAACGAUGUGGACUUGGCGUCGGCGGGUUUAAAUCCGUCGGUGCCGGAGCUAACGCGUUAAGUCCACCGCCUGGGGACUACGGCCGCAAGGUUAAA